GUACAGGUGAGUAAUACAAAAGAAUCUACUUCAAAGUUUUGAUGUAAUCGUGUAUUUGAGAAUAGUUUUUAUUUUACAAAUUAAUUUUAGUAUCGGUAAUCAUCGAAUCAAAUACGGCCUGAGUUCUUGGACUAGGGUGGGUGUAAAAAGGAUAAAUCCGUUUUGAAAUGAGCUUUUGGAGUAUUAGGUUGUUGGUGGAGUAAAGGUCUACCAAGCCGAUGAUGCUUAGUUGAUUUGAGAGGAUGAUCAACCACACUGGAACUGAAACAAUGUCCAGGCUUAAGCCUGCAGUGAGGAAUUUUGGACAAUGAGCGAAAGCUUGAUCCAGUAAUAUUGCGUGAAUGAAGAAGGCGUUAAAGAUUUGUUAAAAGCAAUUCGGUCGUAAAGUUCUUUCGCUAUCGAUAGAUAAUGACAUUAGAUAGAGAAGAAGUCCCAGCUAAUUUCGUGCCAGCAGCUGCGGUUAUACGGAAGGGGCGAACGUUACUCGGAAUGAUUGGGCGUAAAGAGUUUGUAGGUGGUUUUGUGAGUUAUUUGUUAAAUGUAUGGUUUAUAACUUAGAAAAGCAUUUAAUACUCUAAGACUUGAGUAUAAUAGAGGAUAACAGAAUUUUAUACAUANGGGUAAAAUCUUAUAAUUUAUAAAAGAAUGUCAGUNGCGAAGGCGGUUNUCUGGNUUAUUUACUGACNUUGAGAAACGAANGCUUAGGGAGCAAACAGGAUUAGAUACCCUGGUAGUCUAAGCUGUCAAAUAUGGAUAUUAAUGUUUGGAUUUUAUUUUUCUGACAUAUAGUUAACGCGUUAAAUAUCCCGCCUGAGAAGUACGGUCGCAAGACUGGAACUCAAAGGAAUUGACGGGGGUUGAAACAAGUGGUGGAGCAUGUGUUUUAAUUCGAUAAUACACGCAUAAUCUUACCAACUUUUGAAUAACAGUUUUGCUAUAGUGUUAUAGCUAUUGCUUUUUUUUCUUUUUUUAUUAAAAGUUUUGAAAUAACUGUUACAGGUACUGCAUGGCUGUCGUCAGUUCGUGCUGUGAAGUGUUUGGUUUAGUCCUUUAACGAACGCAACUCUCAUUUUAUAUUGGUCUAUUUCUUUUUUAACAUUGGAAUACCACUUAUAAAUUACUACUAAAACUAAUUUAGGGGAAGGUGAGAAUGACGCCAAGUCUUUAUGGUCCUUAUAGGUUGGGCUACACAUGUGCUACAAUGGUAAUUACAAAAAGU
rnacentral:rRNA from 1 species